rnacentral:rRNA from 1 species
UACGUAGGGGGCAAGCGUUGUCCGGAUUUAUUGGGCGUAAAGAGCGUGUAGGCGGCUUGACAGGUCUGCUGUGAAAACUCGAGGCUCAACCUCGAGAUGUCGGCGGAAACCGUCUGGCUAGAGUCCGGAAGAGGAGGGUGGAAUUCCUGGUGUAGCGGUGAAAUGCGCAGAUAUCAGGAAGAACACCUAUGGCGAAGGCAGCUCUCUGGGACGGUACUGACGCUGAGACGCGAAAGCGUGGGGAGCGAACAGG